CAGCCAGAACCACAGUGCUGAAUGGCAAAUCUGCAAGGACUAAAGUCAGGCAGCUACCUGGAAAGAAAAAGGAUCCUUCAUGGUGUAUUUAUAAAUGCUAAAUGGCCUGGGAAACCGCUGAGAGAUUUCUCAUGCUCAGAUCCUCAUUUUCUCUUGCGUGGUCAUCCCUGGGACAGCUCUGGAAAACAAGGCAGCCAUUUUCUCAUAAGCUGUUACACUCGGCAAACCAGAUUGAAGUGCUUGAUAAGCUGCUGUUCUCUUCCGUGCCUGCAGCAAUCGGAGGGGAAAAACAACCCAUCACCCACAAACAGGAAGGAAGGAGUUUGGUGGUGGAUUGAGGAGUCAGACAAGCACCAUAUGGCCAGAAAGGAGGGAAGACAAAAGCAAGGGCCGAGCCACCUCUCUCAGCAGCAGCAAGAGUUACGUUGGCUCAGCUGUGUUGUCUAAUCAAGUAUUCUAAAUCAAUUAAGACUGAAACCAAUUUGUACACAUGAAUCUUUGUAUUUAUAAAUGAACCUAAAUAUUCCACAGUAAUAUUCCAUACGGUUUAACUCCUGUAGUACAUGCACAGAAACCAAGGACUGGCUGAGCUCAUUAGCCAUGAAAACAUGCAGUUUUAUCAGGCAAGCUUUUGUCCAGCAAUACAAAAAAUGAGCAGUGAAUGAAUGAAUGCACCCCAUCCCACCCUAUAAAACAAUGGUCCCCAAUGCAGGAAUGUCAGUUAAUGUCAAUUAACAGUAAAGAUUCUCUCUCAGUUGUUUGGAACUGUCACCAGGUCCAAGCUCCAGCCUGCUGAGGUAUUUCUAUAACAACAACAACAACGACAUCAUGAGAGAGUUUAUUGACAUCAGUCAUCCGCUGGUAAGACCACCAGUGUUUGUAAAUAAUUCUCACACAUCUUCCCAGAAUACUAAAUUUCUUUCUCUGCCUGGAGAGCAUUUCCCCAGGUUUUUAUUUGGGCGGUGAUCUCAAGCAGAGGCACGGUGGCUGCAGACACCCACUGAGGUAAUACUCCAUGCAUGCCUACCUCGCCUCUCCGCACAAACGGCUGAGCCGCUCGUCAUUCAAUGGCCCAGGACGGCGAUUUAUAGCCCGUUCUAGGCAGACCGGAUCUGGCAAUGGUUUGCUUUAAAAAGGUGCACAGCAAAGUAAAGCGUUUCAGCAGUGACUCAGCGUUGUGUAUUAAUAGCCAGCCUAAGCUUAUUUAAGACCCUGCCGUUCCCAUGCGUCGGGGACAGGGGCUGGAUCAGACUGUUGAUCUGACUGGAAGCUCACCUCGCAAAUAAAACCAUUUUUCAGCACUGCGCAGUGGCAUGACGACGGGGCCAACAGCGCCCAGGGAGCGGGAGCACGGGUCAAGGGGAAGGGGAGGGAGGGCAGGACAGGCCUUUCUGGAGCUGCUGCAUUUGGAACGGCUCAGGUCAACUGCAAAGACUUGGAUUCCCUUGGCCCACAGGAGGAAGGGGAGGCCAAGGCUGCUGAAGUUGUGAAGAAUUGGGCCCCACAUAAGUCUUUAUACCCACCAUGCAAAGUGAAUGCAACAGAAAACAGUGUUUAGAAGAAUCUUGUAUACUCACCCUGCAGGCACAUAAAUACCCAUGUGCAGAAAUGAAAAGAAUCAGCUGCCGGUAUAUGCUUUUGGUCAAAUUGGAAAGCACAGGGAGGUGAGAAAUAGAAAAAGUCACCACAAUCUGAUUAGCUGUGUAAUUAAGACUAAACUGGGAGAUCAAUAAGGAAAACUAUAAGGAGGGUUUUUUCAGCACAGUACGCCGGAGAGAAAAUGGGAAAUCUGGUGGAAAUCUAAUGGGAUAAAGUAACAGAUGGUAGGUAGACACCCAGGGGACAUGGAAUAUGUUUAAAGAUGAUACUGGCUAACAGUAUGAUUAAGAGUGUAUGCAAUAUCACAGUGCACUGAAUUGAACUAGAAUGUAAGUAGUAAGGCCAUGAAAACCUUAAUAUUCUAGGUCGGACUUACGUACUUUUAUAAACACCUACAAGACAAAUAGGAAGAAUGCUUACAAAAAGGCUCUACCCAACACAAGUAUCUGGGCUAUUUAAGGGAAUGGCUCUUGACCUUGUCUUGAGAAACAUGGCAAACAACUGCCUACAAAUGUGACACAGGAUACCACAAAGAGGACAAGCAAUGAAGUUCAUCAGCAAAGAUACAACAAUAAAUAAUGGACUCACUGUACAGAAAAAGAAAACUUGAGUUACAUUUCUGGAAACAUCUUAGAGGGCAGAACAAGCUACCAGUGGAGCUGUGCAAACCACUGUCAUCUGGGCGACCUGAACCUACCUGACAGUACAUCAUUCUACCAGGCCUGUAAGGACUCUGAGGAAAAAAACCUAGAUCAAUCCCCUUCCAUUUUUUCAAACACUAGUACAUCAGUAACUUCCAGCAAAAUCUUCCACAUAACCCACUGUUCUUCCAGCUGGUACACAUGCAGGAGUAUGGAUUGCAGUCUAUAAGCUCAACACACAAGCGGGUCAACUCAAGGUGGCCUCUCAUGCUCAGGCAACACUUUAAAUUUUCUCUUGGGUACAAUCAAGUUUGCUAUACCAGUCUCAUGAAACUAUGGUGGUCCUGUGCCUUCCAAAUAUUUGCCAACAAUUAAAUAAUACCUAUAAACAAUACAGUCCAGCUGCAGAACUGCUUAUGUCUCCAUAAAAUAAAUAAACACUAUAUAUAUAAACUCCAGAUAUAUACAGAUAGAUGGAUACAUACAUACAUACUAGAGUGUUAAAUGGAGUAGAUGUAAACAAAUGAUAUAAAAAGAUAUAAACCAAUGCUGCAUUAUUAUAAGCCAGUUAUUUAUGUAGAUUUAUUUUAAAAUAUGUCUGAUUGCAUUCAUAGCACUGAUGAAGAGAACAGUAAUGCACUAAACAUCAUUAAACACUUAAACUAAAAUUCCUCCUUGAUCGUCCCUUCACAACCACUUUGAUUCCACUUUGCCACCCAGGACAAGAAUAACUGCAUGACUUGAAGGUCAGAAAAUUCCUACUCCGUUAUGAGAGCAAACAAAAUAAUUUCCAAAAGCAGAGCCCUCUCCCAUGCACAAUCCUGCUUUCGGCUCUCCCAUCUCCAACUGGCACUAAUUUAAAUUAGGGGACUGGUAGCUUUAGCACUUCAGCUGGUAUCAAUUACCAUUAUAUCAUGCAAAACACUCCCUGAAGUAAUCAGGAACCAAGCUGCUUAUGGAAAUAGUGUAAAAACCGCACCAGAAAUGAAAUAGAAGCCAGUAUACAGCAGAGACAUAACCAGCCCCUCUAUAAGAAAAAGAGAUUUAAAUGGGCAGCUGCACUCUGCAUCAGCAGAAUUAUAGCCAUUUCUGUGAAUGGUUUUAAGGUGCAUAGAGAGGUCACUGUCUCCCAUAGAUUGGGUUACUGCAAAGCCAAUGGAUAAUAACUACAGCAAGGAAGCAACUGGGUACUGGACUGCCUUAAAACAGCUGAGGAGAAAUAGAAUAAGCCAGAAUGAUGCUGACUCUGACGCAGCUUCAGAGCAGGCAUCGUCCUCUGAUUUACUCACAGCUAGCUCAUGAAAACUUCGCAGUGUUUUUACAACCAUAGAAUCCAAUAAACCAAGCCCCAAAACACAGAUUUUUUUAUCCUAGUCCAGGAAAAUGGUGAGAGGUAAUGAGCUUGGGCCCAAUGAAAUGUGAUGUAAGGAACCAAAAAGAAACACACGCUUAGGAAGCUGAAGUUUUAACAGCCACCUUGCAUUGUUGUGCUUGUGUCUGUUCUUGGUAUCCCACCUAAAUGGCUUUUGCCCAGGAACAAAGUAUUUUGUUGUAAGGAUGCUUAAACCGGUACUUGUCAUAUAGGGCAAGCUUGCUCAACUGAGGAGCCAGCUAAAGUCAUUCAGGGCCUACCUUACACGUACUGAAAGGGCAGAUAUAGAUAGGCUUCCUGGCACCCUUCCAUCCUACAAUUUCCUACUUCUAUUACACUGAUGAUUCAAAUCUAAUUUUAACAAGCAAGCAAGCCUUAUGCUGUCAGCAACCAUUGUUCCAAGACAGAAGGAAAAUACUUUAAACACAUUUCCGUGCCUUUCAACAUCUGCAUUUUUGUAUUGCUUUUGUUCCUGGAGAGGGGCACAGAAAAGGAAAAUAAGGGAAGCACUUCCCAAGGUAGGGAGCUAAGAUAUCAGUGCUGUCACUUACCAUUUCCUAAACAAGCCUAAUUUUUUGAGACAAUACAUGGGUAGCAGAAGGGUAUUAUUAAUUUAGAGAACUAAUGCUUUGAAAGUCUAAAAAACUUGCUACAGUAACAAAGCAGGUUUCAAAAAAGCAUUCCCCUAAGAUCACAUAAAAAUAAUGGGGUUUGUUUCAAAAAUAGAAAAACAUUUUCCACAUCCUUUGGUAAAAUUGAGUCCUACACAGCCAUGAUUUUUUUUUUUUUUUUUUUUAGUAACUAACUAUAUGCAUCUCUUUACAAUGAAGUCUGUGUGUAAAUGAAACUUCUCCACCAGUUUAGAAAGAAUCUAAAAUUUUCCUUGACUGUACAGUAUCUCACAAGAGGAGACCACUCACCAUGUUUCUAAGCAUUGCCCUAAGAGAUCAGAAAAAGCAAAAGAAUUUGAGUAUUCUUUUACCUAUUUUCAGAUGGCCUUCAAAAGCAAAGUCAACAAAGAAUAAUGAAGAGCUGAGUUCAUUAGUUGUACAGCAAAAGAAGUCAUCCCAUAUAAUGUGUAUUGGUAGUGAGUGAUAAAUUGCAAGGGGCAAGAUAUUCACCGAGCAUAAUUAGUUCAGAAGAUUAUUGUAGAAGAAGGACAUAAACAUGGUUCCAACAACCAAGGAUAAGACAAGCAUAGAAAAGUCUUCCUGACAAGGAAGAAACAGCCCUGUUUGUUCUGAGUUACAGCACAAUCAAGUUAGCUAUGUGGCACAUCCUGCUGUUUGUAUCAUAUGAUUUUCGUAACUUAAAAUGGAAGAUUAAAGCCACCUGCAGGUCUCCUAAACAAUAAAAACGCUAUACUGUGGUGCUGAAA